rnacentral:rRNA from 1 species
AUACGGAGGAUCCGAGCGUUAUCCGGAUUUACUGGGCGUAAAGGGCGUGUAGGCGGUCUUGCAAGUCAGAAGUGAAAUUCCUGAGCUCAACUCGGGCGCUGCUUCUGAAACUGCAGGACUUGAGUGCUGGAGGGGAUAGCGGAAUUCCUAGUGGAGCGGUAAAAUGCGCAGAUAUUAGGAAGAACACCGGUGGCGAAGGCGGCUAGCUGGACAGUAACUGACGCUGAGGCGCGAAAGCGUGGGGAGCAAACAGGAUUAGAUACCCGGGUAGUCCACGCUGUAAACGAUGAAUACUAGGUGUAGGGGGUAUCGACUCCCUCUGUGCCGCAGUUAACACAAUAAGUAUUCCGCCUGGGGAGUACGGCCGCAAGGUUGAAACUUAAAGGAAUUGACGGGG